AUGCUCUCAAUGGUGUACGACGAUGGUGGCGAGGUAUCGACCAUCUACUGGCCCAACCCCUACUUCAGCUACUGGCAGAACAGCCGCAAGAUCUACAAUUUCAGCCGCGAGGCCGAGUUGGAUUCCACGGGCCAUUUCUUGGCCAGCGACAACGCGACGUUCGAUGCCGCCGAUCUGGGCAGCACCGGGGUCAGGAGGAGGUUGACGCUGGACACCGACGGCAACCUCCGGCUGUACAGCUUGGACGGCGAGGCAUGGACCGUGUCGUGGAUGGCGUUCUCCAACCCCUGCAUCAUCCACGGCGUGUGCGGCAUCAACGCGGUGUGCCUCUACACGCCUUCACCGGCCUGCGUCUGCGCCCCCGGGCACGAGCGCGCCGACCGGAGCGACUGGAGCAGGGGCUGCCGGCCGACGUUCAGCAACUCCACCGGCGGCCGCGACGAGCAGGUGAAGUUCGUGGCGCUGCCGCACACCGACUUCUGGGGCUUCGACCUCAACAACAGCGAGUACCUGUCGCUGGACGCGUGCGAGGCGCAGUGCACCGGCGAGCCGUCGUGCGUGGUGUUCCAGUACAAGCAGGGCAAGGGGGAGUGCUACCCCAAGAGCCUCAUGUUCAACGGCAGGACGUUCCCCGGCCUGCCCGGCACGGCCUACCUCAAGGUCCCAGCCGACUUCAACGUGCCGGAGCUGCGCAUCCAUCAAUGGCAGACCGAUGAUGGCCUCGCCAUCCAGGAGGGCAUUGCCGGAUGCGACGCCGCGGCACCGGAGGUCUUGCUCAACGUCUCCGGCACGGCGAAGAUGAGCAGCAACCAGGGCAAGUCGCUAUGGUUCUACUUCUACGGCUUCUUGUCCGCGUUCUUCGUCAUCGAGGUGUUUGUGAUAGCGUUUGGGUGCUGGCUCUUCUCCAAGAAAGGGAUACUGUCCAGGCCAUCGGAGCUGCUGGCCGUGGAGGAAGGGUACAGGAUGAUCACCAGCCAUUUCCGGGCGUACAGCUACUCAGAGCUGCAGACGGCCACCAGGAAGUUCCGCGCCGAGAUCGGCCGCGGCGGUUCGGGCACCGUGUACAAGGGGGUCCUGGACGACGACAGGACGGUGGCCGUCAAGGUGCUGCAGGACGUGAGCCAGAGCGAGGAGGUGUUCCAGGCCGAGCUGAGCGCGAUCGGCAGGAUCUACCACAUGAACUUGGUAAGAAUGUGGGGGUUCUGCUCGGAAGGCGCGCACCGGAUUCUGGUCUACGAGUACGUCCACAACGGAUCAUUGGCAAAUGUGCUGUUCCAAGGCACCGGAAAUUCCGGCGGGUUGCUGGGAUGGAAGCAGAGGUUCAGCAUCGCCGUCGGCGUGGCCAAAGGACUGGCAUAUCUUCACAAUGAGUGCCUGGAGUGGAUCAUCCACUGCGACAUGAAGCCGGAGAACAUACUGCUGGAUGAUGAAAUGGAGCCCAAGAUCACCGACUUCGGGCUGGCGAAGCUGCUCAACAGAGACGGGUCCGACUCGGGCCUGUCGCGAAUCCGAGGAACAAGGGGGUACAUGGCGCCCGAGUGGGUGUCCAGCCUUCCCAUCACCGAGAAGGUCGACGUGUACAGCUAUGGCGUGGUGCUCCUGGAACUGAUGAAAGGGAAGAGGGUUUCAGACUGGGUGGUGGAUGGGAAAGAGGGGCUUGAAACUGAUGUCAGAACCGUGGUGAAGAUGAUCGUUGACAGAUCGAAGCGCGGCGAUGGAGGAUGGGUUGCGGACCUCGUGGAUGAACGGCUGGAUGGCGAAUUUAAUCAUGCGCAAGCUAGAAUAUUUGCCCAGUUGGCUGUCUCAUGUGUAGAGGAAGAUAGAAACAAAAGGCCCGGUAUGAAGAAUGUAGUGCAGACGCUCAUCUCUGCAGAUGAUGAGUCAAGAGAUAAUGAAUAUCCGGAAAUAUGA
rnacentral:rRNA from 1 species